AUGAGGAGAUUUUUCAGAGCGCAUAGCUACAGCGAUGAAGACAACAGUCAGAUCCAGUACCUGACGGCUAAGUGUAACCGCCUGGCGCAUGAUAAAGCAGUGCUGGAGAGGGAAUGCCUGGGGGCCAGGGAGAGAGAGAGGAGCCUGCAGAAUGAGCUGGAGGCUCUGUCCACACAGCUCUGCCAACAGGAGCAGGUCAACAUAGAUUUGAUGUUCAAACACGAUCAACUGCUCGGCAGGGUCCAUCAUGAACAGCAACGGGUGCAUCUUGUGGUGGAGGAGAGCUCCAGAGAUGCUGCACUGCUGGGCCUACAGCUGGAACAGGUCAACUCGGAGCUACUGCACCUGCAAAGUUCUGAGGUGCAGUUGGAAGGCCUGGUGGAAGAGCUGCAUACUGAGGACCUGCAGAGAGCUGCAUUGACCGAGGACCUCCAGGUGCAGCUGCACAGUAAGGUAUUGGAGUUGGAAGAGCUUCAGUGCUGCUACGCUGCUAGCACCCAGGAGCUGGAGGAGCUGCGCUGCGCCAACCAGAGGAAGAUGCAGGAACUGCAGCGGGAGAACGAGGGCAGCCUGAAGAAGCUCCAGGAGACGGCCGAGCAGUUUGAGUGGCUGUGUGAACAGCAGCGCUACUGGAUGUGCUGCGUCAAGAGAUUCAAAGACUGCCUGUCAGAGGAGAAGGACUCUCUGGUGCGGCAGGUGAAACGGUUGGAGAAGGAGGUAGCAGAGCUGAGGAAGAGCUCAGAGAGCACCACCCAGAUGCCGUGCUGCCCCCUAGAGGACACAGUCAGCCAGCACUGUGACAGAAUGCCCUCUUGGGAAUCCGGUCAGAUGGCUGACCUGCAAACCCAGGUGGACAAAUGGAGAAAGCUGUAUGAGGACCUCUUCAGCCAGUUCACACCCCACCAAGGGGGGCACGUUGUCGACAGAUAUCAAAAACCUCCUUGAGGUCAGAAGACCAUGAAAUCCAUCUAUUUUUCUUCAACCCAGUGGAGGCACUCCUAACUUUUGGCUGUUUGUCGAAGCUACUCAACUGUUGCUGAGAACCAUACAACCUCACCGUUCUAUUGUUGUCGUUGUUUAAAUGUCUUGAAACCACUGCAUGAUCAUGACUGUCCUGGAGUGUGAUAUGCAACUUUGUUAGUCUAUCUUUUGUUAUGAGUGUUACAGUGUUCUCCUAUUUGGACACACUUUCCUGUCAUUGUCUAUUUUCAGACACACUGGUGGAACAUAGUAAAUCAACAAGUAAAAACACCUGAGAAUGUCUGUGUUGUUGUUACUCUGCCAAUCCUGAUGAUGACUCUAGCUGAUGAGCAGAGAACCACAACACAUGCUAAUGUUUUGUCCUGGUGAACAUUCCUGACAUUAACUCCCAUCAUUUACAAUUAACCAGAUGUGGGAUUAAAAACAAAACUCAUGUAAAAUAUACUGUGUCUGUGAAAUGUACAUAGGUUCAGAACUUUUCUGAAACGGCAAAAAAUAUAUGGCAAAAUAAAAAUCAAACUAGAUGAGCUUUAGCGAUAGAUGGUAGCUGAAGGAUUGGAUUAAAAACAAACAAAAGGGAACUAUUGUAAAAUAAAUUGUCCAUAAAGUGUGGUGUUGUCAAUUAGUUUACUCCAAUUAGGAGAAAGCAUGGUAGGGUUAGAGGGAAAAUAUAUUUUUAAAAGAUAUAUAUAUAUAGUAGCAGUCAAAAGU
rnacentral:lncRNA from 1 species